UAAAGAGAUGGGGUCUCACUCUGUUGCUUAGGGUGAAGUGCAGUAGUGCAAUCAAAGCACACUGCAUCCUUGAACUCCUGGGCUCAAGCCAUCCUCCCACUUCAGCCUGAGUAGCUGGGGCUAGAGGUGUGAGUUCCAUGCCCAGCUCAUUGUUUUUAAAUUUUUGUUUGUAGAGACAAGCUCUUCCUAUGUUACCCAAACUGGUCUCAAACACCUGGGCUCAAGGGAUCCUCCCAAAGUGCUGGAAUUACAGGCAUGAGCCACCAAGCCUGGCCUCAUCAUGGAUUUUUGCAUUAAUUUUGAUUUUUAAAAAAUACUGCUGUAAGGUCAGGCACAGUGGCUCAUGCCUGUAGUCCCAGCACUUUGGGAGGCUGAGGCAGGCUAGGGAGAGCUGAGUUGGUUACAUCUGGGGUCCAUCUAGGGUUCCAUCCCUGGAAGAGAUGGUGGUGGUUAGGGCUGUCCGGAGCUCCUCAGGGGCAAAGACCCCCAGUUCUGUGAUGAUGCCACCAGUGAUGAGGUCGUGGGGGGUGACAUCGAAGGCAGGAUUCCAAACUCCAAUCCCUGCAGGGGAGAGAGGGGAGGCAAGGAGGCAAGAAUUUGCUUCUGUGAAAGUUCUCAGGUUGUAGUCAUCUGUUUCUACCACAGUGGUUCUUGGAGUUGGGGAGUCCUUGAGAACCUGAGGAUUCUCACCCCAAAAGUACAUGCAGGCAUGGACAUUGUACUCAAUAGUAAGUUUAGACUCGCCACUGCCCCUAGAAUGUCAGUCCCCAAGAAAAAUUCAAAGUCCUAUACACAUCUAUGCCACUUAUUUUUUUAUUUUUUGUGAGAUGUAGUUUUGCUCUUGUUGCCCAGGCUGGAGUGCAAUGGCACGAUCUUGGUUCACUGCAACCUCCACCUCCCAGGUUUCAAGCAAUUCUCCUGCCUCAGCCUCCCGAGUAGCUGGGAUUACAGGCAUGCACCACCAUGCCCAGCCAGUAUUUUUAGUAGAGACGAGGUUUUUCCAUGUUGGUCAGGCUGGUCUCAAACUCCCGACCUCAGGUGAUCUGCCCGCCUCGGCCUCCCAAAGUGCUGGGAUUACAGGCGUGAGCCACCGCACCUGGCCCAUCCCACUUAUUUUUUUAGUUU
rnacentral:lncRNA from 10 species